UCGGGGUGGAUUAGUGGCGAACGGGUGAGUANACACNGUGGGCAAUCUGCCCUUCACUCUGGGACAAGCCCUGGAAACGGGGUCUAAUACCGGAUAACACUCUGUCCCGCAUGGGACGGGGUUAAAAGCUCCGGCGGUGAAGGAUGAGCCCGCGGCCUAUCAGCUUGUUGGUGGGGUGAUGGCCUACCAAGGCGACGACGGGUAGCCGGCCUGAGAGGGCGACCGGCCACACUGGGACUGAGACACGGCCCAGACUCCUACGGGAGGCAGCAGUGGGGAAUAUUGCACAAUGGGCGAAAGCCUGAUGCAGCGACGCCGCGUGAGGGAUGACGGCCUUCGGGUUGUAAACCUCUUUCAGCAGGGAAGAAGCGAGAGUGACGGUACCUGCAGAAGAAGCGCCGGCUAACUACGUGCCAGCAGCCGCGGUAAUACGUAGGGCGCAAGCGUUGUCCGGAAUUAUUGGGCGUAAAGAGCUCGUAGGCGGCUUGUUGCGUCGGUUGUGAAAGCCCGGGGCUUAACCCCGGGUCUGCAGUCGAUACGGGCAGGCUAGAGUGUGGUAGGGGAGAUCGGAAUUCCUGGUGUAGCGGUGAAAUGCGCAGAUAUCAGGAGGAACACCGGUGGCGAAGGCGGAUCUCUGGGCCAUUACUGACGCUGAGGAGCGAAAGCGUGGGGAGCGAACAGGAUUAGAUACCCUGGUAGUCCACGCCGU
rnacentral:rRNA from 1 species